UCCGGCUUAACGCCGGCAGUCUGCCUAGAGUGCUCAGCUUGCCUGUUAGCAACUGACGACAGAGGUUGCGCUCGUUGCGGGACUUAACCCAACAUCUCACGGCACGAGCUGACGACAGCCAUGCAGCACCUGUGAUCGUUCCCGACUUUACGGGUCGUCGCCCUUUCGGGUUCCUACUGCGACCAUGUCAAGCCUAGGUGAGGUUCUUCGCGUUGCAUCGAAUUAAACCACACGCUCCGCUGCUUGUGCGGGCCCCCGUCAAUUCCUUUGAGUUUUAGCCUUGCGGCCGUACUCCCCAGGCGGGGCACUUAAUGCGUUAGCUUCGGCACGGGGGGAGUCGACACCCCCCACACCUAGUGCCCAUCGUUUACAGCGUGGACUAC
rnacentral:misc_RNA from 1 species